ACUACAAAAUAGAAAGCUGUGCUUCUCGCGAAGUGUACCUUCGACAUCGACACAACACAAAUAUUUACGAUUAAUGCUAAUUUGAUUUUCAACAUUUCGCAAAGCGUUAAUGUGCAACAUGAAAGGCAACCACAAAAUGUUAGCCAGCACAAAAAAGACUUAUUGGGACCAGACAGUUAAAUGCCCCGGCGUAUCGGACUAAAUCCACCAACAUACAGUAGAACUACAGCUAAGGCAAAAGCAGCGUGAAAAAUUGGCUAAGUUGGCGGAACUUCGUUUGCUUGCCUCUUUGGCAUGCAUAAACGCACAUUGAAUGAGACCAUUUUGGAAACGGUUAUUGCAUGUUUAUCCUGGCGAGGGAAAAUAAUCCUUAACUUUUUUCUGCUGCCCACAUGUGACAAUUUAAAUGUCGUCCGAGGAAGAUCAACGAUGAAUGUUUGUUUUGUUAUGCUGUUGAUAAGAAUAUUAUAAGUGUGGUUGGGAAGCUGUACGGAAAAAGAGACAUGUUGUUGAUGGUACAAACAAAGACAUAUGCACACAAUGGCAAG